UACCUGGCAUAUCCCUCUGUCACUUCCCUUCACAAUGCAAAAUGGAUCUUGAAGGCCAGUUUGAACAUGACCACUGUGCACUCCACCUUUCUCCAGAUUGAACUUUGGAACGGCACGCCCAUCAAAAAAGGGAUUGGAGCCAUCACGCACACCAUAUGGUUCGUUUGAAGUAACUACUGUUAUGUUCAGAUAUUUCAUCUCUGCGAAGUCAUUCUCACCAUCAAAGUUGUCCGCUUUGCUCAUGAUCGAUAUGGCCACACCAGAAGCGAAGGAGUCCCACAUGAAGUAGCUCUGCAAAUAGAGUCCAAAUGACAAGCUGCCCGUGAUCAGAAAGCAUUGCACCAGCCAAGUACUGAUAGAAACCUCAUGAAGAACUCACUGUGUAGAACUGGUUGUCGAACCAGUUAUCCCGAAUGAUUUUUAGAGAUUUGAAACAGUAUUGUGCCUCAAAUGUUUCUUGCUGCUGUUGGAACACAUCAAAGAAUUCCUCAUUGACGGGGAUAGUGUUGGUUGAAUCAAGUGGAACAAGAGUAACUGGAAUCCCAGCAUGAAAGACCUGCCUCAAUGCAGUAGACAUCAAAUGAACUAAUCUUUCUGUGUCUAUGGAAA
rnacentral:lncRNA from 1 species